rnacentral:rRNA from 1 species
UGAUGGGAAUUUAAACCUCUUCCAGAGUAUCAAUUGGAGGGCAAGUCUGGUGCCAGCAGCCGCGGUAAUUCCAGCUCCAAUAGCGUAUAUUAAAAUUGUUGCAGUUAAAAAGCUCGUAGUUGAAUUUCUGCUGCAUUACAUAUCUCUUGUUUGAGUUUGUUUUUGUGGCUUAUUUCGGUUUGAUUUUUCUUUCCGGAUGAUUACUUUGAGAAAAUUAGAGUGCUCAAAGCAGGCUUUUGCCUUGAAUAGUUUAGCAUGGAAUAAUAAAGUAGGACUUUGGUUCUAUUUUGUUGGUUUUAGGUACCAAAGUAAUGG